UCGAGAAGACAAACUCUUUAGCAGAGAGAGAGAGAGAGAGAGAGAGAGAGAGGUGGGAUGGGAGUACAAAGAUGAUGUUGAUGAUGCACGUAAAAAAGAGAAGAGGAGGGGGUGUUGGAGAUUGAGACUGAUGACUGACGGCUGAUGACUGAGAGAUGAAGGGAGGAAGGAGUAAAUGCAAAUCCACUCUGAUUUAGCAAAUAACUAAAAUCAAAGACAGGAAAGGCCAUAGAAAAGAAAAAAGAAACCGAGAGAGAGAGAGAGAGAGAGAGAGCUAUUUCCAUAAAGUCCCAA
rnacentral:lncRNA from 1 species